UACGGAGGGUGCAAGCAUUAAUCGGAAUUAUUGGGCGUAAAGGGCGCGUAGGCGGACUAUCAAGUCAGAUGUGAAAUACCAAAGCUCAACUUUGGUGCUGCAUUUGAAACUGAUAGACUUGAGGGUUGACGGAGAAAAUGGAAUUCCACGUGUAGCGGUGAAAUGCGUAGAUAUGUGGAAGAACACCUGUGGCGAAAGCGAUUUUCUAGUUAAUACCUGACGCUGAGGCGCGAGAGCAAGGGGAGCAAACAGG
rnacentral:rRNA from 1 species